UGUGACAAAAUAUACAAGGUCCAGCCUGCCCAGUGAUUUAUUUAACGGCCGCGGUACCCUAACCGUGCGAAGGUAGCACAAUCACUUGUUCCUUAAAUAGGGACUAGUAUGAAUGGCAUCACGAGGGUUAUUCUGUCUCCCCCUUUUAAUCAGUGAAACUGAUCUCCCCGUGAAGAAGCGGGGAUAUCAAUAUAAGACGAGAAGACCCCAUGGAGCUUUAAACUCAGAAACACCAGCUAUUUUUAAACCAAACCAAUACGCCUCCCUGAUUUCUAGUUUUCGGUUGGGGUGACCACGGAGUACAACACAACCUCCUUGAUGAAAGGAACUAUUUCCUUAUUUAAGAACUACAGUUCUAAAAAUCAAUACAUUGACAAAAAUUGAUCCAAAUUAUUUUGAUCAACGAACCAAGUUACCCUGGGGAUAACAGCGCAAUCCAUUUCAAGAGCUCAUAUCGACAAAUGGGUUUACGACCUCGAUGUUGGAUCAGGGUAUCCCAGUGGUGCAGCCGCUACUAAAGGUUCGUUUGUUCAACGAUUAAAACCCU
rnacentral:rRNA from 1 species